UGAGGAAUUUUCCGCAAUGGUCGCAAGACUGACGGAGCAACGCCGCGUGCAGGAGGACGCUUUUCGGAGUGUAAACUGCUUUUCUGUGGGAAGAGCAAGGACGGUACCACAGGAAGAAGCCCCGGCUAACUACGUGCCAGCAGCCGCGGUAAUACGUAGGGGGCGAGCGUUGUCCGGAGUUACUGGGCGUAAAGGGCACGCAGGCGGUGCGGCGCGUUUCGCGUGACAGCGGAGGGCUUACCUCUCCGAGGAUGCGAAAGACGGCGGCACUUGAGGGCCAGAGAGGGACACGGAAUUCCGGGUGGAGUGGUGAAAUGCGUAGAGAUCCGGAGGAACACCGAAGGCGAAGGCAGUGUCCUGGCUGGUGACUGACGCUGAGGUGCGAAAGCUAGGGGAGCGAAC
rnacentral:rRNA from 1 species